rnacentral:lncRNA from 1 species
UACACACGGGAGUCAUGCCGUGUGAUUACAAUAUCUGAUGACGUGUCAGAUGACGUGUCAGAAAGCCCUGCGCCGACCCUGGGGGUAAAUCAACAGACCUCCACACCAAACGAUGAUACUAUGUUGAUCCUUUGGAAUUAUACGACACUUCAACUUAUAAUGAUCCAAUGAAGAAGUUGUAUAGAAUGGAGUGUCGCUUAAUCAGAAUGGAGGGAGAAAUGAGGAGGCUGCACAAUGAUAUUAACUUCAUAAAGAUGAAUAUGAACGGUAUGACUGGCGAUAUAAAGGGCAUAGAUAUUCAAAUGAGAACUAUAAUAGAUAUGCUCAAGACAGAUGCUACUGAAGCAUCAAAAAGAUGUCGAGUUG